rnacentral:rRNA from 1 species
GUCCACGCUGUAAACGAUGAGUGCUAGGCGGUGGAGGAUUUUGACCCCUUCGCUGUCGAAGCUAACGCGUUAAGCACUCCGCCUGGGGAGUACGGUCGCAAGACUAAAACUCAAAGGAAUUGACGGGGGCCCCGCACAAGCGGUGGAGCAUGUGGUUUAAUUCGACGCAACGCGCAGAACCUUACCUGGGUUAAAUCCGCUGGAAUCUGGCCGAAAAGCUGGAGUGCCCUUCGGGAAGUCAGUGAGACGGUGCUGCAUGGCUGUCGU